rnacentral:rRNA from 1 species
UACGUAGGGCGCAAGCGUUGUCCGGAAUUAUUGGGCGUAAAGAGCUCGUAGGCGGUUUGUCGCGUCUGCUGUGAAAACGCGGGGCUCAACUCCGCGCCUGCAGUGGGUACGGGCAGACUAGAGUGCAGUAGGGGAGACUGGAAUUCCUGGUGUAGCGGUGGAAUGCGCAGAUAUCAGGAGGAACACCGGUGGCGAAGGCGGGUCUCUGGGCUGUAAACUGACGCUGAGGAGCGAAAGCGUGGGUAGCGAACAGG